rnacentral:rRNA from 1 species
GAGUUUGAUCCUGGCUCAGGACGAACGCUGGCGGCGUGCCUAACACAUGCAAGUCGAACGGAGAUACGCGCUGAAUGGAUGGAGCUUGCUUUUGAAAUUCUUGUGUAUCUUAGUGGCGGACGGGUGAGUAACGCGUGAGCAACCUGCCUUUCAGAGGGGGAUAACGUAUGGAAACGAACGCUAAUACCGCAUGAGACCACAGUACUGCAUAGUACAGUGGCCAAAGGAGCAAUCCGCUGAAAGAUGGGCUCGCGUCCGAUUAGAUAGUUGGCGGGGUAACGGCCCACCAAGUCGACGAUCGGUAGCCGGACUGAGAGGUUGAACGGCCACAUUGGGACUGAGACACGGCCCAGACUCCUACGGGAGGCAGCAGUGAGGGAUAUUGGUCAAUGGGGGAAACCCUGAACCAGCAACGCCGCGUGAGGGAAGACGGUUUUCGGAUUGUAAACCUCUGUCCUCUGUGAAGAUAAUGACGGUAGCAGA